UACGAAGGGGGCUAGCGUUGUUCGGAAUUACUGGGCGUAAAGCGCGCGCAGGCGGCUAUCCAAAGUCAGUGGUGAAAGCCCGGAGCUCAACUCCGGAACUGCCAUUGAAACUGUUUAGCUUGAGGAUGAGAGAGGUGAGUGGAAUUCCCAGUGUAGAGGUGAAAUUCGUAGAUAUUGGGAAGAACACCGGUGGCGAAGGCGACUUACUGGACACAUAUUGACGCUGAGGUGCGAAAGCGUGGGGAGCAAACAGG
rnacentral:rRNA from 1 species